rnacentral:rRNA from 1 species
GGACGAACGCUGGCGGCGUGCCUAAUACAUGCAAGUCGUACGCUUCUUUUUCCACCGGAGCUUGCUCCACCGGAAAAAGAAGAGUGGCGAACGGGUGAGUAACACGUGGGUAACCUGCCCAUCAGAAGGGGAUAACACUUGGAAACAGGUGCUAAUACCGUAUAACAAUCGAAACCGCAUGGUUUUGAUUUGAAAGGCGCUUUCGGGUGUCGCUGAUGGAUGGACCCGCGGUGCAUUAGCUAGUUGGUGAGGUAACGGCUCACCAAGGCCACGAUGCAUAGCCGACCUGAGAGGGUGAUCGGCCACAUUGGGACUGAGACACGGCCCAAACUCCUACGGGAGGCAGCAGUAGGGAAUCUUCGGCAAUGGACGAAAGUCUGACCGAGCAACGCCGCGUGAGUGAAGAAGGUUUUCGGAUCGUAAAACUCUGUUGUUAGAGAAGAACAAGGAUGAGAGUAACUGUUCAUCCCUUGACGGUAUCUAACCAGAAAGCCACGGCUAACUACGUGCCAGCAGCCGCGGUAAUACGUAGGUGGCAAGCGUUGUCCGGAUUUAUUGGGCGUAAAGCGAGCGCAGGCGGUUUCUUAAGUCUGAUGUGAAAGCCCCCGGCUCAACCGGGGAGGGUCAUUGGAAACUGGGAGAC